AGUGAACGCUGGCGGUAGGCCUAACACAUGCAAGUCGAACGGCAGCACAGGAGAGCUUGCUCUCUGGGUGGCGAGUGGCGGACGGGUGAGGAAUACAUCGGAAUCUACUCUGUCGUGGGGGAUAACGUAGGGAAACUUACGCUAAUACAGCAUACGACCUACGGGUGAAAGCAGGGGAUCUUCGGACCUUGCGCGAUUGAAUGAGCCGAUGUCGGAUUAGCUAGUUGACGGGGUAAAGGCCCACCAAGGCGACGAUCCGGAGCUGGUCUGAGAGGAUGAUCAGCCACACUGGAACUGAGACACGGUCCAGACUCCUACGGGAGGCAGCAGUGGGGAAUAUUGGACAAUGGGCGCAAGCCUGAUCCAGCCAUACCGCGUGGGUGAAGAAGGCUUUCGGGUUGUAAAGCCCUUUUGUUGGGAAAGAAAUCCAGCUGGCUAAUACCUGGUUGGGAUGACGGUACCCAAAGAAUAAGCACCGGCUAACUUCGUGCCAGCCGCCGCCGUAA
rnacentral:rRNA from 1 species